rnacentral:rRNA from 1 species
CCUACGGGAGGCAGCAGUGGGGAAUAUUGGGCAAUGGGCGAAAGCCUGACCCAGCAACGCCGCGUGAAGGAAGAAGGCUUUCGGGUUGUAAACUUCUUUUGACAGGGAAGAGCAGAAGACGGUACCUGUCGAAUAAGCCACGCCUAACUACGUGCCAGCAGCCGCGGUAAUACGUAGGUGGCAAGCGUUGUCCGGAUUUACUGGGGGUAAAGGGCGUGUAGCCGGGCUGACAAGUCAGAUGUGAAAUCCGGGGGCUCAACCCCCGAACUGCAUUUGAAACUGUUGGUCUUGAGUAUCGGAGAGGCAGGCGGAAUUCCUAGUGUAGCGGUGAAAUGCGUAGAUAUUAGGAGGAACACCAGUGGCGAAGGCGGCCUGCUGGACGACAACUGACGGUGAGGCGCGAAAGCGUGGGGAGCAAACAGGAUUAGAUACCCUUGUAGUC